AUGAGUAUAGCUCAGUGGUAGAGCAUAUGCUUAGUGUGCUCAGGGUCCUGGGUUCAAUCCCCAGCACCUCUG
rnacentral:tRNA from 1 species